UACGAAGGGUGCAAGCGUUAAUCGGAAUUACUGGGCGUAAAGCGUGCGUAGGCGGUUUGUUAAGUCUGUUGUGAAAUCCCCGGGUUCAACCUGGGAAUGGCAAUGGAUACUGGCAAGCUAGAGUGUGUCAGAGGAUGGUGGAAUUCCCGGUGUAGCGGUGAAAUGCGCAGAUAUCAGGAAGAACACCCGUGGCGAAGGCGGCUCUCUGGGACGGUACUGACGCUGAGACGCGAAAGCGUGGGGAGCGAACAGG
rnacentral:rRNA from 1 species